UGGGAAUUUGGACAAUGGGCGAAGCUGAUCCAGCAAUGCCGCGUGUGUGAAGAAGGCCUUCGGGUUGUAAAGCACUUUUGUCCGGAAAGAAAUCCUUGGCUCUAAUACAGUCGGGGGAUGACGGUACCGGAAGAAUAAGCACCGGCUAACUACGUGCCAGCAGCCGCGGUAAUACGUAGGGUGCAAGCGUUAAUCGGAAUUACUGGGCGUAAAGCGUGCGCAGGCGGUUUGCUAAGACCGAUGUGAAAUCCCCGGGCCGUCAACCUGGGAACUGGCAUUGGUGAUCUGGCAGGCUAGAGUAUGGCAGAGGGGGGUAGAAUUCCACGUGUAGCAGUGAAAUGCGUAGAGAUGUGGAGGAAUACCGAUGGCGAAGGCAGCCCCCUGGGCCAAUACUGACGCUCAUGCACGAAAGCGU
rnacentral:rRNA from 1 species